UACAGAGGGGGCAAGCGUUGUCCGGACUUACUGGGCGUAAAGGGUGCGCAGGCGGUCUGAUGCGUCGUCGCUGAAAACUCACAGCUCAACUGUGGGCGUGCGGGCGAUACGGGCAGACUUGAGUACUGCAGGGGAGACUGGAAUUCCUGGUGUAGCGGUGGAAUGCGCAGAUAUCUGGAAGAACACCGGUGGCGAAGGCGGUGGUCUGGGCCUGAACUGACGCUGAGGAGCGAAAGCCAGGGGAGCAAACGGG
rnacentral:rRNA from 1 species